UACGUAGGGGGCAAGCGUUAUCUGGAUUUACUGGGUGUAAAGGGAGCGUAGACGGUGAUGCAAGUCAGAAGUGAAAGCCCGGGGCUCAACUCCGGGACUGCUUUUGAAACUGUGUAACUGGAGUGCAGGAGAGGUAAGCGGAAUUCCUAGUGUAGCGGUGAAAUGCGUAGAUAUUAGGAGGAACACCAGUGGCGAAGGCGGCUUACUGGACUGUAACUGACGUUGAGGCUCGAAAGCGUGGGGAGCAAACAGG
rnacentral:rRNA from 1 species